UUCAGUAUAAGUAGUCAAACUGCUAACUUAUUUUGAUAUGGCCAUUUGAUUUGUCUACGUACUUGUUACUUAUACAUCAGAUAAUUAUUAUGUAUCUGGUAUUUUAUUUCAUUUGUGUGUUUUUGGUGGCUUUUUAUUACAGGUCUUGUAUGACACCUUGCCCUUCAUAAUGCAAUUUAUCUACUUGUGAUCCUAAAACAAUUUAACCUACUCCUGUUACCCACUUUACUGAAUACAUACAGAUACAUUUCGCUUAAUAUAGUAACAUCAACGUAUUUAUGAGUACUGAUGUAUGGGGUAUAUACUGC